rnacentral:rRNA from 1 species
UUGACGGGGCCCGCACAAGCGGUGGAGCAUGUGGUUAAUUCGAAGCAACGCGAAGUAACCUUACCAGGUCUUGACAUCCCGAUGCUAUUUCUAGAGAUAGAAAGUUACUUCGGUACAUCGGUGACAGGUGGUGCAUGGUUGUCGUCAGCUCGUGUCGUGAGAUGUUGGGUUAAGUCCCGCAACGAGCGCAACCCCUAUUGUUAGUUGCCAUCAUUCAGUUGGGCACUCUAGCGAGACUGCCGGUAAUAAACCGGGAGGAAGUGGGGAUGACGUCAAAUCAUCAUGCCCCUUAUGACCUGGGCUACACACGUGCUACAAUGGUUGGUACAACGAGUUGCGAGUCGGUGACGGCGAGCUAAUCUCUUAAAAGCCAAUCUCAGUUCGGAUUGUAGGCUGCAACUCGCCUACAUGAAGUCGGAAUCGCUAGUAAUCGCGGAUCAGCACGCCGCGGUGAAUACGUUCCCGGGCCUU